AUAUAACUAGGCGGAGGAAAAGAAAUUAACGAAGAUUUCCUUAGUAACGGCGAGUGAAAAGGAAAUAGUCCGGCGCUGAAUCCCGUAGCCUUUGGUUACGGGAACUGUGGCGUGAAGAAGAGCCUAUCCGUCGGGUUUGUCGCUUCGGAAGCUCCCUUGAACGGGACCCCGAAGCAGGUGCGAGGCCUGUGCCGAGGCUCGACCCGUCGGUUUGAGCCUUCUUAGAGUCGGGUUGCUUGAGAGUGCAGCCCUAAGCGGAAGGUAAACCCCUUCUAAGACUAAAUAUGACCACGAGACCGAUAGCGCACAAGUA
rnacentral:rRNA from 1 species